rnacentral:rRNA from 4 species
UACGUAUGGUGCAAGCGUUAUCCGGAUUUACUGGGUGUAAAGGGUGCGUAGGUGGUAUGGCAAGUCAGAAGUGAAAGGCUGGGGCUCAACCCCGGGACUGCUUUUGAAACUGUCAAACUAGAGUACAGGAGAGGAAAGCGGAAUUCCUAGUGUAGCGGUGAAAUGCGUAGAUAUUAGGAGGAACACCAGUGGCGAAGGCGGCUUUCUGGACUGAAACUGACACUGAGGCACGAAAGCGUGGGGAGCAAACAGG